UGAACUUAAAUCCUGACGCUCUGAGUGCAGCAGAGACGGAGCACAGUUACCACCACCUCCUCUUUCACAACGCUCCUGAAACUGCGAGCCGACAUCAGAAAGGAGGCGAGCACAAAGACUCAGGACCGAAACCAAAGAAAAGACGCCACAGUAACAAUAAAAACAACUCUAAAUUGCCAAAAGGUCACGGUGAUACUCCCGCGGGUAAAAAGUCUUUUGAAUGUGAAACUUGUGGGAAAUCGUUCAAGCUUAAGUCCCGAUGGUAUGAACACCAGAGUGCACACAAAGGUGAGAAGCCACACACCUGCAAAACAUGCGGGAAAGACUUCAGACGCAUGCGCUCCCUGCUGCUCCACGUGAGAGCCCACACAGGUGAGAUGUCGUGCGACUGCAAGUACUGCGGGAAACGAUUCGCCUGGAAUUCAGCGUUAAAAAGCCACAUGAGAAUCCACACCGACGAGAGGCCGUAUUCCUGCACCACAUGUGGGAAACGUUUCCGGCGUAACGGCACCAUGCGGAUCCACAUGAAAACCCAUACAGGUGAGAGGACGCACCACUGCAAACGAAGAAAAGGUUCCUCGACACGUCACAGGUGAAUUCACGUGAAAACCGACAUGUAUAACAUGCGGGGGAGCCUUCAGACGUCCACAUGAGCGUCCACACGGGAAAAGUUUCUUUAAAUCACUCAAGACCUCCCAGAAGUGAGGAGCCACAUUACGGCAG